AAGUGGGAAAAGCUCAAAUUUAAAAUCUGGCAUCCUUUGGUUGUCCGAGUUGUAACCUAGAGAAUUGCUACCUGUGCUGGACCAUGUAUAAGUCUCCUGGAAUGGAGUGUCACAGAGGGUGAGAAUCCCGUCCUUGACGUGGAUUGCCAGUGCAUUAUGGUGUGCUCUCUAAGAGUCGAGUUGUUUGGGAAUGCAGCUCUAAAUGGGUGGUAAAUUCCAUCUAAAGCUAAAUAUUGGCGAGAGACCGAUAGCGAACAAGUACCGUGAGGGAAAGAUGAAAAGAACUUUGGAAAGAGAGUUAAACAGUACGUGAAAUUGUUGAAAGGGAAACAUUUGAAGUCAGUUGUGUUG
rnacentral:rRNA from 1 species